rnacentral:rRNA from 1 species
AGGAUGAACGCUGGCGGCGUGCUUAACACAUGCAAGUCGAACGAUGAAGGCUGGAGCUUGCUCUGGCUGGAUUAGUGGCGAACGGGUGAGUAACACGUGAGUAACCUGCCCCCGACUCUGGGAUAAGCGCUGGAAACGGCGUCUAAUACCGGAUACGAGCUUCCGCCGCAUGGUGAGGAGCUGGAAAGAAUUUCGGCUGGGAUGGACUCGCGGCCUAGUCAGCUUGUUGGUGAGGUAAUGGCUCACCAAGGCGACGACGGGUAGCCGGCCUGGAGAGGGUGACCGGCCACGACGUGGGACUGGAGACGACGGCCCAGGACUCCUACGGGAGCAGCGAGGUGGGAAUAGUUGACUACGAAGUGGGCGCAAGCCUAGAUGCAGCAACGCGCGUGAGGACGAAGCCGUUAGGUAGUAAC